UUCUUUUCUUUCCCUAAUUUUCUGUGCCUUGGUUCUCUUCUCCACUCUCUUUCUCUUCUAACUUCUAAACAAAGAAAAUUCUGCAAUUGAAUCUCCACCUACGUAAUGUUUCAAGCGAUUUGCAGACAAUCAAUGAUGGAGAUCAAGGAUUGAGUUGAUUUCUUUUCACUUCCUCGAUUAGGUAUCCAUAUGAGGAAGCUGAUGAAGUGCCCAUAUGCAUAAGCUUCAUGGUAGCAGGGGAUUUUACAUAGCACUAAUAUUGAGGUUACUUUUUUAUGUCCAUGAAUGAAGAAAACCAUAUUGAUCUAAGUCAAUUAAUGUGACAUUUGUCUGAAGAACAAAGGAGAGCACACUCACCUACCAGCCAUGUUGCAACCACUUUUUCUUCCUGAUCAGGCUUAGCAACACAUUUUAACGGAUUCUAUAGAGUGGUUACCAGUGCGUUAGAGAAAAUCUAUCAUUUUAGUUAUGAUGGACAGACUUACCAAGUACGACCAUUUCAUUGUCUUCUAAUACCUUUAGACUGCUGCUUUUGUGGCUAAAGAAUUUAUCUACCAGGUAUUCGAACUAUAUGGAUUUCUUUCUUCAGUUGUGUCAAAUAGAGAUAUAAAGUCUUUACUAGUAAUUGACAAGAUUUUUUCAAAACUCCGGAUAAUGAUGAAUUUGGUGGAGUUUUAACAUUAUAACUUUUCCAUGAUUCUUUAAGACUUAAUCAAGUAAUUAGUAUGUAACACAUUUUUUAUUACUUCAC